rnacentral:rRNA from 1 species
GACGUAGGGCGCGAGCGUUGUCCGGAUUUAUUGGGCGUAAAGAGCUCGUAGGCGGCUUGUCGCGUCGACUGUGAAAACCCGCGGCUCAACUGUGGGCUUGCAGUCGAUACGGGCAUCACUGGAGUUCGGCAGGGGAGACUGGAAUUCCUGGUGUAGCGGUGAAAUGCGUAGAUAUCGAGAGGAACACCAGUGGCGAAGGCGAGUCCCUGGACAGAUCCUGACGCUGAGGCACGAAAGCUAGGGGAGCAAACAGG